rnacentral:rRNA from 1 species
GAACCAGUACCGUGAGGGAAAGGCGAAAAGAACCCCGGAAGGGGAGUGAAAUAGAUCCUGAAAUCGUAUGCAUACAAACAGUAGGAGCACCUUCGUGGUGUGACUGCGUACCUUUUGUAUAAUGGGUCAGCGACUUACAUUCAGUGGCAAGCUUAACCGAAUAGGGGAGGCGUAGCGAAAGCGAGUCCGAAUAGGGCGAUUCAGUCGCUGGGUGUAGACCCGAAACCAGGCGAUCUAUCCAUGGCCAGGUUGAAGGCACGGUAACACGUGCUGGAGGACCGAACCCACUAAUGUUGAAAAAUUAGGGGAUGAGCUGUGGAUCGGAGUGAAAGGCUAAACAAGCCUGGAGAUAGCUGGUUCUCUCCGAAAACUAUUUAGGUAGUGCCUCGUAUAUUACUGCCGGGGGUAGAGCACUGUUAUGGCUAGGGGGUCACAGCGACUUACCAACCCAUGGCAAACUCCGAAUACCGGCAAGUACAGUACGGGAGACAGAGCACCGGGUGCUAACGUCCGGACUCAAGAGGGAAACAACCCAGACCGCCAGCUAAGGUCCCUAACUAUGGCUAAGUGGGAAACGAAGUGGGAAGGCAUAGACAGUCAGGAGGUUGGCUUAGAAGCAGCCAUCCUUUAAAGAAAGCGUAAUAGCUCACUGAUCGAGUCGUCCUGCGCGGAAGAUGUAACGGGGCUAAGCCAUAGACCGAAGCUGCGGAUGUGUACUUUAGUACACAUGGUAGGAGAGCGUUCCGUAAGCCUGUGAAGGUGUUCCGUGAGGAAUGCUGGAGGUAUCGGAAGUGAGAAUGCUGACAUGAGUAGCGAUAAAGGGGGUGAAAAGCCCCCUCGCCGUAAGUCCAAGGUUUCCUGCGCAACGUUCAUCGGCGCAGGGUGAGUCGGCCCCUAAGGCGAGGCAGAGAUGCGUAGCUGAUGGGAAGCGGGUUAAUAUUCCCGCACCGUCGUAGAGUGCGAUGGGGGGACGGAUUGCAGAAUGUUAUCGGGGUGUUGGAUGUCCCCGUUGGCGCAUCAUAGAAGGCACUUAGGCAAAUCCGGGUGCGUAAUUCAAGGGUGUGACUGGAUAGAGCUUCGGCUCUAAACUAACUGGAAGCAGUUCCAAGAAAAGCCUCUAAGCUUCAGCUCUACGAGACCGUACCGCAAACCGACACAGGUGGACGGGAUGAAUAUUCCAAGGCGCUUGAGAGAACUCAGGAGAAGGAACUCGGCAAAUUAAUACCGUAACUUCGGGAGAAGGUAUGCCUCAUUAGUGUGAUGUGCCUGCGCACAAAGCAUGAAGAGGCCGCAGUGAAUCGGUGGCUGCGACUGUUUACUAAAAACACAGCACUCUGCAAACACGAAAGUGGACGUAUAGGGUGUGACGCCUGCCCGGUGCCGGAAGGUUAAGUGAUGGGGUGCAAGCUCUUGAUCGAAGCCCCGGUAAACGGCGGCCGUAACUAUAACGGUCCUAAGGUAGCGAAAUUCCUUGUCGGGUAAGUUCCGACCUGCACGAAUGGCGUAACGAUGGCCACACUGUCUCCUCCUGAGACUCAGCGAAGUUGACAUGGUUGUGAUGAUGCAAUCUCCCCGCGGCUAGACGGAAAGACCCCAUGAACCUUUACUGUAGCUUUGCAUUGGAUUGUGAACCGGCCUGUGUAGGAU